CUCCUGGCGGCGCGCGCCCGCCGGCCUCAACCUGUCAGCGGGCAUGCGCUCGGGGCCGCGCACGGGAACGACCCUCGUCCACUAGGAGCUGGAAGGGAGUGAAGAAGGCGGAGGUUUGCUGAAUCUCUCCUCGCCCUCGCGAGUGAAAAUCUCUGCGCCUCAGAGCCGUGAUGAGCUCGGGAUAAGCACAGGCGGCAAAGCCAGACCUGCAGGCCGCGGUGGAACCCUCACAGAGUAGCAAACACGAACGAAUGAGAUAUGGGAGAAGAUGUUCAUGGAAGAAAUGACAGAAAAGCUUAGUAAUGAAUAAUGUUUUAUUAUUCUGUUUGAUUUGAAUUUUCAAAACAUCGGCCUAACACAAUCAAAUAUUAACUCAUCAUCAAGUAAGAAUCCCCCUGAUGUUUGGAUCCCAGACCAAGUGUGGACUCCUUCCUACUGUUUUAUUUGCUGGAGUCAAGAAUCACGUGUCAACACAGGGCUUCUAGUGAAUUUAGUCUUGUAUCCUAUUGAAGAUCCUGGAAGAGGUCUGCCUCUAACUGAAGCUGGGGACUUCAAUGAUGUGAUAGGACAAGUAAUGACACACCAAGGACAUCCACAUCUUAACUCCUGGAACCUGAGAACAUGUUACAUGGUGAUAUGUUACUGGCCUUGAAGAUGGAAGAUGAGUCAUGACCAGGAAUGUGGGCUAGAAAAAGCAAGGACACUGACUUUUCCCUUAGAUCCUCUAGGAAUCCAGCCCUGCUGACAUGGGGAUUUUAGCUCACUGAGACUGAGUUUUUGUUUCAAAUGAGGCUUCUUUUCUAACACAGUUUGUUGAAGUAACUAUCCUCUCUUGAUUGAAUUAGUGUGGAAAUUUUGUUAAAAAUUAACUGACCAUAUACAUGUGGUUGUAUUUAUGGACAAUAUUCCAUUCCCACUGCUCUGUGUGUCUGUCCUUUCACCAAUACCAUACUGUCUUGAUCCCUACAGCUGUGUAGUGAGUGUUGAAGUCAGAGAAUAAAUGCUUAAAAUUUGUUCUUUUUGCAAAGAAUUUGGUUAGAUUAUUUUAAGCCAUUGAUACUUCUGUUUAAAUCUCAGCACCAUCUUGUCUGUUUUUGUUUAUCAGAAAGCUCCCUGAUACUUAACUGCAAUUAGAAUAGCAUUGAGACUAUGUACCAAUUAGGAAAGACUUGACCUCUUACU
rnacentral:lncRNA from 1 species